UGAGAGAAUGUGUCACGCUGCUGCUGAGGCUGGCGUUUCCUCUUUUCAUUCUUUUUAAAUUUCCAGUCAGCAAAAGCCAGCUGGAUGUCCAGUGUCAGCUUCAAGGCAUGCAUACUGCCAUGAUGGCCCUCUGGACCUGGACUGGGGGGAAACUGAGUUCGGAGUUUCCCUGGACCAGCCUUAAAUUCCCUGGGUAGCUGAGGAUGACUUUGAGCUUCUGCUCCUCCUGCUCUGACCUCCCGAGGGCAGGGACUCCAGGGGUGGGCCACCACACCCAGCUUGCUCUCGCUUUUUUGCAUAUCUGUCUCCACUAGGCUGGGGAGCAGCAAAAGCCGGGUAGGAGGGUCUCCUUACUUCUAUCCCAGAGCCGACAUGACAUUUGGUCAGUCAACAUGACAUGGAUGGAAACGAUCUGUUUGCCUGUCUGUCUUCUAUCUCCAGCUUACUCAGGAACUGCAUAGAGAAAGCCUGGGACCCCGGAGAACCGCUCAUGGUGUGAGGCGCGGUUUAGGCAAAGGGUUCUGAAGCCAGACCGUCUGGAAUAGAAUCUUGGCUCUACCUCUGACCAGCUCCGCGACCUUGAGCAAGUCGCCUUGCCCCCUCUAUGCAUCCUUCGCCAUCAAUGACCUAAAGCUGAGAAGGAGAGCGACCUCACAGGCACGGUGAGGGCAGACGCUGGGAGACAGCAGGCUCCGAGCUUGCCACGGAGCAAGCGCGUGCUGGGAGCGGUGGGCUUGGGAGACCAACGCUUCCAGAGAUGGAGGGAAGCCGGCACUGUGACACCGCUGCUUGCUCGGCGUUCCCGGGUUUGUCGGGAUGGGGGGUAGCCGAGGACAGUUCCGACUCAGGUAACCCCAGAAGCUGGAGAAAGUGAGGCACGCAAAGCUUGCUCAGAGAGCCGCACCGGAGUAGCAAAACAGGAAUGCAUUCUCCCUCAGGAAGCAUCUUGGCUCUGCUGUCCUGGCCGGCAGGCUGUGAAAGGACGCACUAACAGCCCUAAGUGAAUAACAGCACCCGGCCGAAGAACUGAGGAGCGGUGAGCUCAGCUACAGGGGGCCCUGCUUCAUUCUGGACUCACUGGGCUGCUUUUCCUAAAAGGGGGGGGGGCAGAGAAAGAAAAGAACCCCCUCCCCGGUUAAACCCUGACCUUCAGUCUGUCCCUCCUUCCG
rnacentral:lncRNA from 1 species